CAGUCGCCACGGGAAUACAGAGGGUGCGAGCGUUAAUCGGAUUUACUGGGCGUAAAGCGUGCGUAGGCGGCUUCUUAAGUCGGAUGUGAAAUCCCUGAGCUUAACUUAGGAAUUGCAUUCGAUACUGGGAAGCUAGAGUAUGGGAGAGGAUGGUAGAAUUCCAGGUGUAGCGGUGAAAUGCGUAGAGAUCUGGAGGAAUACCGAUGGCGAAGGCAGCCAUCUGGCCUAAUACUGACGCUGAGGUACGAAAGCAUGGGGAGCGAACAGGAUUAGAUACCCCCGUAGUCCCUGUCUCUUAUAC
rnacentral:rRNA from 1 species